CAAGAACAUGUAAGCACUGCUCUUCACCACGGCCCUGCUUAGCAGACUUACCUCCGAAAGGCAGCUUAAAUCGCCAAGGAGAAUACAAGAAAUAUACUCCCAGCAGAAGCAGGCAAUUUAAUUUUAGUCUUUCGUUAGUGAAAACAGCAGCAUCUCAAACAAGGAACUUUUUGCAACUCAGCAGUGUGAUCUUGCACGAGUUCCUUUCCUUUUCCAAGCCUCAGUUCUACUACGUGAAAAUGGAGGUAAUCGUACCUAUGUUGAAGACAGUUUGUGGAGAUGAAAUGAGAAGUAUAAAAGAGCAUCUAGUGGAGUGUCAGACACAAGGGAGGCCUUAAUAAAAGAAUCCAAGCUCAACAUUCCAUAAAUGACUGGGGAGCCUACUGGAAGAAUUGCAUCUUACCAAUUCCAAGGACAGAGCGAUCUUUAAAAGAAUGCUAAAGAAAGAGAUUUAGAACAUUUCUCAACAUCUUAUGGGACUCAAGCGGAGAAAAAUACCAUUUUGGGGCACUUGCUAUUUGAAAUCUCAAGUUACUAGUCUAAAACUGAGAGAGAUGCACCAAUAACAAGUUUACAGCUUGAUGAAUUCUCACAAGUGAAUACAUUUACGUAACUAGGACCCUGAUGAAGAAGCAGACUAUCACCAGCAGCCAAGAAGCAGGACCCCCUCCAACGACUAUCGCACGUAAAGAACAACAGGGAAGCCAAGGCCACUAAAAGAAGUAGGACUGGAGGGGAGAGGAAGAAUACUACCUACCUCACUAGGCGAUUUUGAAGAUUAAACAAUGAAAGAGAAAGCACUGGAAAAACUAUAAGUACUUCAUGAAUACGACUUGGUAUGAAAACCAUGAAAGACUCAAAGACAAUACAUGGAUUAAAAAACGUAUUAUAUAUACUAAAUAUUUUAAGAUUAGGUAUGUAAUGUAAUAUAAAUUGUAGGUGCUUAUUGUAGUUACCUUCUAAAAUUUCCUAUUUUUGGUCAGCCAUUUCAUGUAAUGUAUAGAUAAAUGAUUUAAUGAUUUUACCAUACUUUUAUACUUUUUGUUAUACUUAUUGAGAGAGAUGCUCAUUAAGGCUAAACUUAUUUUUUUGCUGAAUAGCAUGGAAUUCUAUUUCUCACUUAUUUUCUGGGUGAUGGGUUACUUUCGGACACAUUAUAUAACUUGAUCCCUGUAAGAAUUUGUGAGAUAUUCAGGACAGAUGGCAUUGUCCCCAGUUUGGUGACAAGGAAAUCAAGGUUCACAGAGGAUGAGGUGCAAGUCACUUGCCCAGAAUUGAUGAAGUUCGUAAGAAGUAGGGUUGGAAUUUGUAUACAGACUUUCUAACUCCAAAUGCAGAAUUCUUUCUACUACAUUAUGCUCUUCUUGGUAACUUCUCCUUGGUAAAUAAAAAUUUUUGCACCUUCUGGGCUGCACAGUAAUCCAUUGGUCUGAAUGAAGCUGGACAGAUUGAC
rnacentral:lncRNA from 1 species